GCACCUCGAUGUCGGCUCGUCGCAUCCUGGGGGUGAAGAAGCUCCCAAGGGUUGGGCUGUUCGCCCAUUAAAGCGGCACGCGAGCUGGGUUCAGACCGUUUAGAGGCUAAACUUAUUUGGCCUUUAAACGCUCUGAAUCCACGAGGUAAAACGACAUAAAAUACGGCGGCGAUAUUGAGUAAUCAAUAUUGGCAUAAAAAGUUAACUUAUAUCGGUAAAAUCCUUUUUUAGGACAAUACCGAGGGAAUUCAAAUUGUAUUUGAAGCCCGUAGAGACUAAACGUUAACCUCCUUAAAAUAAUAAAUAUUUUUAAGGAUGAUAUUAUAGUCCAAUGCACUUAGUAAUAAGUGAAAAACAUGCGUAAGACAGGUCGGUCUCCUAUCCACUAUGAUCGUGGAAACUUGAGAGGGCCCUUCCUUAGUACGAGAGGACCGGGAAGGACGAAGCUCUAGUGUACCAGCUGUUCCAUCAGGGGCACUGCUGGGUAGCUACCUUCGGUUUAGAUAAGCGCUGAAAGCAUAUAAGCGCGAAGCUGUCCUCAAGAUUAGGUUUCAUAGACAGGUUAGAGAAUAUGACCUUGAUAGGCCAUAGGUGUAAGUCUGGUAACAGAUUGAGCCGAGUGGUACUAAUAUGUCAUUUGAUUUU
rnacentral:rRNA from 1 species